rnacentral:lncRNA from 1 species
AUGACUCCCAGCACCGAAGCUGACCACGACCACGACCACGACCACGACCACGACCACGACGCCGAGCCCGGCACCCGGGAACCUGUUCCGGACGUGCCGCUCCCAACCAUGACUCCCAGCACCGACCACGAGGAGGCUGACCACGACCACGACCACGACCACGACCACGGUAGGGGCCCCCGUGUGCCUUGUGUCCUCUGCCCCUGGGAGCCCGCUGGGUUGCCGGGGCUCCUUGAGCGAGAACGGGCUUUCCUAUUGCCUCCGGGACCGGGAAGGUGUCGCCAUGCGAUUCCUUGUCCCGAAACGCUGGCCUGUGCUCUGGAGCUGCGGGGACGUCCUCGGGGCUCUGCCCGGGAAGGAUGUGCUCCCUGGGGAGAGAGGGGCCGCGGUGCGAGUCCGGCGCUCCGAGACGGGGCCGUGUGUCCUCCCGGGUUCUCUGGUUGGCUGCACGCUGCCUGGGCCUGUCCGCAGGUUGUCUGUUGCUCUGCGUGGUGGUCUCCUAACCCGUGCGGGAGGGGCGUAGGCUUCCCCGCCCCCCACGUCUGCUCCCGCCAUGACCCCGGGGGUCUGGUGCAGCACUCCCGGCCCGCAUGCCUGGCGUUGCCACGGAGGCUGCGAGUGCAGAAGCCUCAUGGGACCCGGCGUGGAGCGCCCCACUGCCCCUGGUGGCCCAGUGUGCGCAGCGGACUGAGGCGCGGGCACGCUGGGCUCCGCGAGGGUGGUGCUCUGUGCCUCUGCCUCUCCUGAGACGUCCUUGCCUUCCUCUUGGCGUUGGCUGGUCUCCGAGCUCCCGGGACAGCGUCCAGGAGGCGUGGCCGCUGCCUGAGGACAAGUCCUCGAUGUGCCCUCUGACGCUGGCACGAGCGUGUUCUGGACCCGUGCCGUGCCCCCAGGCAGCUGGGGAGUUGUCUGCCUUGUAGUGCGGCGGGCCACCAGGAGAAUCUGACCCAGUGUCCUGGAUGGGCCAGUUCCCAGUCGUGCGCUCGUGGCCCAGACCAGACCCGGGCUGGUGUGUGGAGCCAGCCACGCGGGCCCGUCUGUCCUGCGUGCCCUGAGUGGGCGCAGAUGAGAGAGGGCGCGGUUGCUCCGUCCGCUUUUCUCCCCUCUCGCCCCCAUGCGGGGAGCCGUGCAGCGGGGCCUGGCUGGACUGAGCCCGUGCCGGACACGGUGCUCCGUUGCCGUCCUGGAGGGCCCAGAGGAUUGCUCGAGGUGUGCCCACCAGGCCCCUCCCCUGAGACAGGGGGCUGGGUGCCGUCAGGUUCUUUCUUGGCUGCCCCUGGAACCCGGAGGUGGCCCUUGCCUGUUCACUUCCCCUUCCUCGUCCCCUUCCUCGUCGCAAGGCAAGGGCCGCUCUUA